UCUCAGUUCAGAUUGCAGGCUGCAACCCGCCUGCAUGAAGUCGGAAUUGCUAGUAAUCGCGGAUCAGCAUGCCGCGGUGAAUACGUUCCCGGGCCUUGUACACACCGCCCGUCACACCAUGGGAGCCGGUAAUACCCGAAGUCAGUAGUCCAACCUCGUGAGGACGCUGCCGAAGGUAGGAUUGGCGACUGGGGUGAAGUCGUAACAAGGUACC
rnacentral:rRNA from 1 species